rnacentral:rRNA from 1 species
UACAGAGGUCUCAAGCGUUGUUCGGAUUCAUUGGGCGUAAAGGGUGCGUAGGUGGCGCCGUAAGUCAGGUGUGAAAUUUCGGAGCUCAACUCCGAAACUGCAUUUGAUACUGCGGUGCUUGAGGACUGGAGAGGAGACUGGAAUUACGGUGUAGCAGUGAAAUGCGUAGAGAUCGGGAGGAACAUCAGUUGCGAAGGCGGCUCUCUGGACCAGCACUGACACUGAGGCACGAAAGCGUGGGGAGCAAACAGG